rnacentral:rRNA from 1 species
CAGUCGCCGCGGUAAUACGAAGGGGGCUAGCGUUGCUCGGAAUGACUGGGCGUAAAGGGCGCGUAGGCGGUUUGGCAAGUCUUGUGUGAAAUCUUCGGGCUCAACCCGAAGCCUGCACGAGAAACUACAGGGCUUGAGUAUUGGAGAGGUGAGUGGAAUUUCCGGUGUAGCGGUGAAAUGCGUAGAUAUCGGAAGGAACACCUGUGGCGAAGGCAGCCCCCUGGGCCAAUACUGACGCUCAUGCACGAAAGCGUGGGGAGCAAGCAGGAUUAGAUACCCCCGUAGUCCCUGUCUCUUAUAC